GGGGCUGACUGGUUUUGACAGCAAGAUGAAUGGUAAUGUAAGCAUGCCGAGCCGUACGAUAAAGCUCGUUAAUAAGUGUCGUGUUUUUAUAAUUGGCGAAAACAAUUUUGCUCUCGCAGCCUAAUCGAAGUUUAGUAGAUUGGCUUUAUCCCGACACAAGGUGACGGGACGAGACGGUUCGCGGGUGGAGAUGUCUGAUUCCGGCCCGACUCACGAAUCGCAAGCAACUUCAGACUGGCUUUGCUGAUGAUUGUAAGGCAGAGUGAGAAAAUAUAAUCUAAGGCAGAAAUUUGGGCGCUUAUCCCCGGGUUCUGCACGAAAAUCAACGAUAAGCUAAGCAUGUAGAAAGCAUUUCAGUUCCUUGUUUGGACGAGGGUUCGAAUCCCUCCAGCUCCACAA
rnacentral:tmRNA from 1 species